UCGCAAUCUAAUUAGUAUUUUUCAUUUUCACCGUGUACUUUUCUCCCAUUUUGACGUUCAAGGGAUUUACCCAUUAAAGGGUGAAAAAUUUCUUGGAGUUUCUCACUAAUCAUUCUAGUGAUCAAUGUUUAGCAACAAAAACUGCUUGUGUAAAAUAAAAAUGAUUAAAUUUAAAAUUAAAUUAAAUGGCUUGGUAGGAAAGGAUGUGCUGCAUAAAACGAAUAGGAAUCAAGGACCCUGAUUGGAAAAAUCAUUUGCUACCGAAUGUGCUGCUGCUAUGAUUAUUAUAAUAUAUAUUUAUCUUUAUGAAUAAAGCUACCUAAUUAAUCCAAUCUGA